rnacentral:ribozyme from 1 species
UACACUGGUAGGAACUGAUAAUGUAUGAAUCCGAAUACUUUCAAAGAAUAAAUAACCUACGUUUGUCCUUCUCAACACAUCUACGGCGUAACAACAGAACAACAGCGGUAACAUUCCAAAUAUCUGAGCUUGGGUAUACGAGGAUACCCAACGCCUUGGUAGGAUGGCUAAGUUGAGAGGA